UACGUAGGCAGCGAGCGUUGUUCGGAGUUACUGGGCGUAAAGCGUGCGUAGGCGGUCCCACAAGUCUGUUGUGAAAUCUCCCGGCUCAACUGGGAGGGUGCGGUGGAAACUGUGGGGCUGGAGUGUGGGAGAGGUAGGCGGAAUUCCUGGUGUAGCGGUGAAAUGCGUAGAUAUCAGGAGGAACACCUGCGGUGUAGACGGCUUACUGGACCACUACUGACGCUGAGGCACGAAAGCGUGGGGAGCGAACAGG
rnacentral:rRNA from 1 species